rnacentral:rRNA from 1 species
GGAAUCUUAGACAAUGGGGGAAACCCUGAUCUAGCCAUGCCGCGUGAGUGACGAAGGCCCUAGGGUCGUAAAGCUCUUUCGCCAGGGAUGAUAAUGACAGUACCUGGUAAAGAAACCCCGGCUAACUCCGUGCCAGCAGCCGCGGUAAUACGAAGGGGGCUAGCGUUGUUCGGAAUCACUGGGCGUAAAGCGCACGUAGGCGGACUGAUCAGUCAGGGGUGAAAUCCCGGGGCUUAACCCCGGAACUGCCUUUGAUACUGUCAGUCUUGAGGCCGAGAGAGGUGAGUGGAACUCCGAGUGUAGAGGUGAAAUUCGUAGAUAUUCGGAAGAACACCAGUGGCGAAGGCGGCUCACUGGCUCGGUACUGACGCUGAGGUGCGAAAGCGUGGGGAGC